GAUCACCUUUUAUGAUUCUCAAGGAGCGUCCUAUUGAUUCUGAAGCAAGAGGAGCGUGCCAUUAUGCUAUAUAUACGAAGACCAAGCUCAAGACUAAGCAUCUGAUUGAAAAGUAUUAGUUACACAUAUUGAGUCUUUGUUGAGUCUUUUAUUAUUUGAUUGUAAUUCUUGCUUGUGGAUUCUAUAACACGAGUUAAGAAGUGAGUUUAUUAUUUUAAGGUUACUCCUAAGCUUUGAAGUACGGAGUUUACCGUGUGUGAUUCACUUGAAGCUUUUAAGCAAAAGUGAAGUAGUGUCUUGGUAAAUUGUUGCCACAUCAUUCCCAACAUUGUUUAAACAACACAGGUUGUGUUGUGUGAGUGGAAGUGAGA
rnacentral:lncRNA from 1 species